rnacentral:rRNA from 1 species
GCGAUGAAGGCCUUCGGGUUGUAAAGCUCUUUCGGCAGGGAAGAUGAUGACGGUACCUGCAGAAGCAGCUGCGGCUAACUACGUGCCAGCAGCCGCGGUAAUACGUAGGCAGCAAGCGUUGUUCGGAGUUACUGGGCGUAAAGGGUGCGUAGGCGGUUUGCUAAGUUUGGUGUGAAAUCUCCCGGCUCAACUGGGAGGGUGCGCCGAAGACUGGCAGGCUCGAGUGGGGGAGAGGAGAGUGGAAUUCCUGGUGUAGCGGUGAAAUGCGUAGAUAUCAGGAGGAACACCGGUGGUGUAGACGGCUCUCUGGACCCUAACUGACGCUGAGGCACGAAAGCGUGGGUAGCAAACAGGAUUAGAUACCCUGGUAGUCCACGCCCUAAACGAUGCACAUUUGGUGUGGGUCAUUCAGUUGAUCCGUGCCGGAGCUAACGCGUUAAAUGUGCCGCCUGGGGAGUACGGUCGCAAGGCUG